rnacentral:rRNA from 1 species
AAUUGAUUUAUUCUUGCAGUCAGACAGUGGGGGAUAAGCUUCAUUGUCACAAGGGGAAGAGCCCAGAUCAUUAAAUAAGGUCCCUAAAAUAUGCUAAGUGGAAAAGGUUGUUAAAAUACUUAAACAGCAAGGAUGUUGGCUUAGAAGCAGCCAUCGUUUAAAGAGUGCGUAACAGCUCACUUGUCGAGUGUUUUUGCGCCGAAGAUGUAACGGGGCUAAGCAUAUUACCGAAUUUAUGGAUUAUUAUUCGUAAGAAUGAUAGUGGUAGACGAGCGUUGUAUAUGGGAU